UACGUAGGGUGCGAGCGUUGUCCGGAAUUAUUGGGCGUAUAGAGCUCGUAGGCGGUGUGUCACGUCGGCCGUGAAAACCUGCAGCUUAACUGUGGGCGUGCGGUCGAUACGGGCAUCACUGGAGUUCGGCAGGGGAGACUGGAAUUCCUGGUGUAGCGGUGAAAUGCGCAGAUAUCAGGAGGAACACCGGUGGCGAAGGCGGGUCUCUGGGCCGAUACUGACGCUGAGGAGCGAAAGCGUGGGGAGCAAACAGG
rnacentral:rRNA from 1 species